UUGGGGGACGUGAGCCUAGUACUGAGAAGGCUCUCCUGGGAUCAGAGGAAGGGGCCUCUGGGUGCCAGUGGCUGGAAGCCCACUCAAGGCGCCUUCUGGAGGAAGGGACUGGGCAAAUCUGACUAAAAAGUCCUUGACUGGGCCUUCCCAGGCAAUGAAAGACCCCCAAACUCUGGAUUCAAGGGUCGUCGGGAAGGGACCAUAUGUCAGGGAGAAGCUUGGCAGCGGGCUGGAUGGGAAGUAAAAGGCUGCCACUGGAGCUGGGGAGCUGGAACCUUGUUAUGUGUUCCAUCGGGGCCUGCCCAUGGAGCAUCCUAGCCAGGGUCCUCUCCCCGCUGGGCAAGGAUGCUCCAGUCCCCUCCUGGGAUGGCAGGCACCCAGGCUUCUGUGGCGCUCUGGGUGAGGUCACCUCUCCCAGAGGGAGGGGAGGGAAGGGCCGAGGCUGGGGCCGGCCGGGGCACCCUCCCUCCUAUCUCCCCCUUAACCCGACAUCCUGGGGCGGGGCCUCUGCCCUGGCAAAGGAGCUCAUUACCAUGGCGACCGCCUGGAGUGCUGCCUCCCUGGGAACCUGGCCCAGGGCCACCUCAUUCCUGCUAGGCUUAACAGACAGCCUUCCAGCCUGGCACUGGCCCUCGGGUGGGGAGUGGGAAGCUGGGGGCAGGGCCCCUCACCUCCAGGGCCACGCAAUGUGGCCUCCACCUCCCUGAAUCUUCCCCCCAACACUUGGAGGGGAACCUGGGCCUAGAAGGAACCUAAGGGACCCACAGACCUGGGCUCGGUUCCGUCCAGAUGAGGAGGCCGAGGGCAAUUCUACUGCUUGGGAAUCAGGACUUUUGUUUCUCCAGAUUACCUUGUUGGGGCUGCUGAGCCCCUUCCCCAAAUCAUGUAUUUAAAAUACACAGAAUUAGGGCAGCUGGCCCCUCCUCCCCCCUGCUGUCAGGAGAACCUGAAUUCAAAUUUUGCCUCAGACAAGCUUGACACUUAUUAGCUGUGUGAUCCUAGGCAAGUCAUUUAACCCAGAUAAUCUUGCAAAAAAAAUGUAAAAUUAAAAGCAGAUCCCAAAGGAGACCAAUUCUAUUGAAAUGCAGUUUUCAAACUAUUUGUGGACUUCUAGAUGAGAUGAAUGUUGUGAUUUUUUUUUUCUAGCUUUCUAAAGUAAUCAUUGGCUUUGAACAAGUAGGUCCCAUUCACAGCAACUCUGGUGACCUUCCCCACUGCUGUGGACCAUUGUCUUUAUACCUACUCUUGCCCUAGAAAUCCCACAGGGGAAGAAACUGAAGCCCUCGCCCACCUGCCUCCCUUUUCCCAUCCAGGGGUCUCAGCUGAGUCCUCACAAGGCACAGCCCCCAGGUGAGGGGCCGCUAACCGGCAGAAACCCAUCCCAUCCCCCACCUUCCCAGGCCAGCUGGCUGGGGGAGAACAGCCACUCCCACGCAGAGCAAUUAGGAAUUAAGUGCUUGUGGCUUGAGUGGGCUGGAGGAUGUGGGCAAAGGGGUGUGAGCUUCUUGGUUAGAGGAGGGACCAGCGAGUCUUUUGUGCCUGACUUUAAGGUACACAUAGUAGGUGAUUUACUGGAUUGUAAUUCAUUUGAGGGCAGGGCCUAGUGUAGGAGGAGAGCCUCCCUUCACCUCCCAGUUCCCCACCUAAUCUCCAGCCCGGGGCCCAUCCCUCUUGAACUCCCUUUGCUCACCCGGGACUCUGCCCUCUAUUCACGGGGCCUUCUAUUUUCCUUUCCCUGUAGCCCCGGCACUCAGCUCGGGGCCGGGCCUGUAGUUAAGGGCUUAGUACAUGCUGACUGACUGAUUACUGCUCCUCCCUCCACUCAGACCACAGCGGAAAUAUCAGGGCUUUUUUGGGGAGGGGAUGGGAGGUCUGCACAGAUUUCAUUUAGUCAGUUUAAUUACACGAAUAACAAUAGUAUGUGAUGUUUAAAAAGUGCUGUAAGAUUUGCAAAGUGCUUUACAAAUAUCUUAACCUAAUUCUCUGGGGGUAGGCGUCUUUCUUACAAAAUAGCAAAAUCCCUCCCGGCACUUGGCUCCCCAUUCUUCUCCCACCUCAAUUUCUCCCCAGCCCCUGGCUCUUUCCUGCUUGCUUAUGGGCUCUCUGGUCUGCCCAGAUGGAUUCUUCCAUCAUCCCUACCUCCUUCCUUUCUCUACUUUUCUUUUUUCCUUUUUCCUUCCUUCCCUUUGUUUCUUUUUUCCUUCUUCCUUCCUUCCCUUUGUUUCUUUUUUCCUUCUUCCUUCCUUCCCUUUGUUUUUUUUCCCUUUCUUCCUUCUCUUUUCUGUCUUCCUUUCCUCCUUUCUUUUCUGUUUUCCUUUUUUCUUUGCCCUGGGGCACCAUCCACUCACCAGUCUGGUCUCACUCCUACUGUAAGUCUCCUUAGGUUCCCAAAGACUCACAAUCCCUAUAUAGAUCUUGGUUUAAAAUAUUUAAUACAGCUCAGAAUUCCCAAGAUUAAUGGCUCCACAGCCCAGGCUUCCCAGCAGCAGGGACUACAGGCCUUUGCCACUCCAGCUAAUUCUAAAAAGCCUUCCCUUGCCCUCUGAAGCCCAUCCAGCUACCAUCCCCAGUCCCGCCUCUUCCCCCACUCCCCACUUUGCUGCUAAACUUCCUGAGAAAGGUGGGAUACCCCUACUUUCUCUCUCCUUGCCCUUUUGCAAUCCAACUUCUGGCCCACCAUCUGUCUGCUGAAAUUUCUUUUUUUUUAAGGUUACCAAUGGCCUAAUUGCUAAAUUUAAGUAGCUUCCCUUCCCGCUUCCCCUCUUUCCUGGAUCCUCCUUGUAACUUCUGACAUGGCUGGCCAUCUUCUUCCCCUUUCAAGGUCACAACCGCCCCACUCUUGGUCUUGACUUUUCUCUCUCCUAAGCAGGCUUUCCAUUUUCUUCCUAAUCUCCUUUUUUCUUUCUUUCUUUCUUUUUUUUUUUUUAAAGCAAUCAGGGUUAAAUGACUCUCUCAGGGUCACAGCUAUUAAGGGGAGGCCACAUUUGAACUCGGGUCCACUUGACUCCAAGCUUGGUGUUCUAUCCACCGCCCUCCCUAGCUGCCCCCUCUCCUGACCUUUUAAUGGGGAUGGUCCCCCAAGAUUUGUCCUUGGUGCUUUCCCCCUCCAUGCAUGAUUUCCCUGGCCACUCCUUUUCUCCCAUCCCCUAGCAGUUGACUCCUGGGUCUGUCUCCAGGGCUACUUUCCCUUCUAAUCCUUCCGCUUGCAAUUCCAUUGUCUACAAGGCCAGGAAAGGAAAGGAGUUUGGGGCUUGUUUUAGCCAGCCCUUUUAUUUUAUAAAUGAGAAAACGGGCCUAGAAGGCCAGGGUUUCUUUUCUAUUUCACACUCUGCCUGAAUCUUCCACCAAAAUCCUUGCUCCUUUAGGGUCAAUGUCAGAAAACGGUUCCUAACAAUGGGAACUUUCGCUCAGGGAACUGGGCUGCCGCCGGGCCUGGUGAGCUACCCUCUCUGCCAUGGGCAAAGGCCGUUGUGUCGGAGGGGGGGAUUCCUGCCAGGGACGGGUAGCCUCCGGUGUCCUUCCAGCUCUGGGAUUUCAGUGAUAACUUCCACUGCAAGAUGACCCAUCAGGGGAGUUUUACAAUGGAGAAAAAGGGAGAGGGCCGAGAGAGGGGGGUAAGAGGAGGCCGGGCAGAGAGCCGAGGUCCAGGGGAAGGGCCAGUCCGGUGGUGGAGGAUGGAGGGAUCCGACCAUGGCCAUCUCUGUGGGCCCGAGGCAGCUCUAGGAGAGCUCAGACACGUGACCGGAGCCUUGGAAGUGGAGCGACCCAGGGCAGCACUGCCUAGAGCCCACAGGUUCCUGCCCAUGACUGAGCAAAUGAGUCCGGGCAGGUCCUGGCUGACCCACCGGCUCCCUUACUCUCCGCUUCCUCUCCCACCCGCGCUCCGCGGAGCUCCGGCCACAGCCACACAUCCCCAAUGCUUCCGGCGCUCACCGUCUCGUGUCAGGCCCAGAUCCCGCUGCCCGGCCUUCCAGGCCCUGCCGGAGCUGCCCCGUGUCCCAGGCCUGACUCAUGCAGCUCUAUUCUGAGAAACUCCUCUGCCCGAUGGGUCCCUGUGCCUUCUGACCUCCGCGCUUUGGCUGGAAGCAUUUUCCUGGAAGGCUCCCCCUCAUCUGGCACCUGUGUAAUUCCUUCUCGAAGCAGCUUCCCAACUGCCCUGGCUCCAGACUUUCUGGAAUACUUCUUUUACUCUACUUUGUGAAAUUCUCAUCGUUUGGGAGAGACUAGGUGGAAAAAAGUCCGUCUUCAGAGGUAGGAAAACCCGAGUCAAGUCUUUGGCCAAAUUAAUCUCUCAGGGUUUAAGGUAAAUUUAAGACUCUGAGCCCUAAAGAGGGCACUUCUGGGGGUUCCCUAUGCCAAAGAAACCAGGGCCCGCCCCUAUUACUAGUUAAAUAUAUUUGUGUUUUAUUUCUUAUCUAGACUGCAAAAAUGGGCUACAAAUUCAAAUGCAUUUAAUAUUGUGACUCGAGAACUCGAGCAGUUGAAUGGUGAAGUGGACAGAGGGCUGGCCCCGAGUUCAAAUCUAACUUCAGAUACUUCUUAGCAGUAGGAUCCUGGACAAGUCACUUAACCUGCGCGUUUUCUCAUCUGUAAAAUGGAGAUACCUUUGCUCUGCAAUCCGAAGCCCUACAGAAAUUGUCAGUUAUUUGUGUUACAUGGAGUAGAUAAUAGGUGUUUGUUGCAUCUAAUAAACACUGGCUGAAUUGAAGGUGC